CUACGGGUGGCUCCAGUGAGGAAUAUUGCACAAUGGGGGGAACCCUGAUGCAGCAACGCCGCGUGGAGGAUGACGCAUUUCGGUGUGUAAACUCCUUUUAUAUGUCAAGAAAAUGACGGUAGCAUAUGAAUAAGCACCGGCUAACUCCGUGCCAGCAGCUGCGGUAAUACGGAGGGUGCAAGCGUUACUCGGAAUCACUGGGCGUAAAGGACGCGUAGGCGGGUUGGAAAGUCAGGCGUGAAAUCCUACAGCUUAACUGUAGAACUGCACUUGAAACUUCUAAUCUAGAGUAUGGGAGGGGGAGAUGGAAUUAGUGGUGUAGGGGUAAAAUCCGUAGAUAUCACUAGGAAUACCUAAAGCGAAGGCGAUCUCCUGGAACAUUACUGACGCUAAGGCGUGAAAGCGUGGGGAGCAAACAGGAUUAGAUACCCGAGUAGUC
rnacentral:rRNA from 1 species